rnacentral:rRNA from 1 species
GUCGAGCGGUAACAGGGGUAGCUUGCUACCCGCUGACGAGCGGCGGACGGGUGAGUAAUGCAUAGGAAUCUGCCCGAUAGUGGGGGAUAACCUGGGGAAACCCAGGCUAAUACCGCAUACGUCCUACGGGAGAAAGGGGGCUCCGGCUCCCGCUAUUGGAUGAGCCUAUGUCGGAUUAGCUAGUUGGUGAGGUAAAGGCUCACCAAGGCGACGAUCCGUAGCUGGUCUGAGAGGAUGAUCAGCCACAUCGGGACUGAGACACGGCCCGAACUCCUACGGGAGGCAGCAGUGGGGAAUAUUGGACAAUGGGCGAAAGCCUGAUCCAGCCAUGCCGCGUGUGUGAAGAAGGCCCUCGGGUUGUAAAGCACUUUCAGCGAGGAAGAACGCCUAGUGGUUAAUACCCAUUAGGAAAGACAUCACUCGCAGAAGAAGCACCGGCUAACUCCGUGCCAGCAGCCGCGGUAAUACGGAGGGUGCAAGCGUUAAUCGGAAUUACUGGGCGUAAAGCGCGCGUAGGUGGCUUGAUAAGCCGGUUGUGAAAGCCCCGGGCUCAACCUGGGAACGGCAUCCGGAACUGUCAAGCUAGAGUGCAGGAGAGGAAGGUAGAAUUCCCGGUGUAGCGGUGAAAUGCGUAGAGAUCGGGAGGAAUACCAGUGGCGAAGGCGGCCUUCUGGACUGACACUGACACUGAGGUGCG